AGUGGCUUGCAGGUUGGUGGUGGUAUAAACUCGGGGAACGCGAAGUCCUAUCUCGAUACAUGUGUUGUCACCUCGGUAAGUGUUUUAUAUCAGUCUUGGAAUUUAACUCUUAACAUUGUGUGUGUGUGAGAUUAAGUUUUGCUCUGGCAUUCUCUCGAGAGCGAGGAGUGCAAUGCGAUCGUCUGGAUGGCAAUGGUGCCGGAUUUCGCUCACAAGGGACUCCUCUUGGAAACUCGAGUUUGGUGCCCGGAAGAGGCUCAUUGCUUCUUGGAGGUGGCCAAUUCCAGAGAUAGGCCGAGAGGAGCACUGUGCGCGCCAUCUUGCUCUUGUAAGGCAUUCGAUCGUAAAUAAACUUUGCAUUUUCAAGAUGGUUUCUAGAGGUGAGCAUAUGGAUCAUUGUUGCCCAAGAGAUGAGCCAUCUUUAGGAAGGAAUCUAGUGCCUCGUCCAAAUGCCCAUUCGAGGCAUAUGCGCCAAGCAUGGAGUUCCAAGCCACCACGUGCCUCUCAAACAAACAUUUAGCCUCCUCCAAGCAGCCAUGAGGUGCAUAGCCGUCGAUCAUAGCCGUAAAUGCCACCUCAUUAAGAUCCGGGGCAUCUUCAAAGAGAUUCUUUGCUUGCUCCAUAUGCCCGGCCUGGUGAUCAUGGUCGUCCAUGUUACUAGGGCAUUCUAUCAAAGAGAUCUUUAGCUUCAUCCAGCCGCUGGUUCUGGCAGUGGCCUUGGAUCAUGGCCGUCCACGGCGCGUGAGAGAUGCCCGUUAUGGGUCAUGGCCGUGCUAGAAACGGGGGUUUGCUCCGGCAUGGAGUGGAAUACCGCCUCCGCCUCGCCGAGAUUGCCACUCGGCGAGUACAUCUCGAUCAUCGCGUUCCAGGUGAUGGAAUUCUUUGCAGGGAUGCGAUCGAAGCGCUGCACGUCCCCGGCCGCGGCUUCAGGUCGUGGUUGCGAAUGUAGGCCUGGAGGGUGAGAUUCCAAGAGAAGAGAUUGGGAUCCGAGGUAGAAUCGAAGACCGAUCGCGCUUCCUCCAGGCAGCCGCAGCGGCCAUACAUCUGGACGAGGAGAUUUCGCAGGAAGACGCUGUUGUUGUGGUCGCUGUGAAGGAUCUGGGCGAUGGAUCCGGCGGCCAUUGUCGCAAGAUGUGACGAGGGCGGCAAGCUCUUAUGCGCAUCGCAUCAUGGCCGUUGGAUGAUGGGGACGUCCGAGGUUCAAGUCCUGGCAGGUUCUAGCUUCCCGAUGUUUUUCAUGGCAUCCCCGAUCGCUCAGCUGCACUCCAAAUGCCGGGCGCGCUCGUCAACGACAGAAUUAACUUCCUGGACACAAGUGGAAGAGAGCAGGCUGGUUUUCCGGGCGAUGGAUCAAAAGGAUAUCAUCUCCUAAUGUCUUGCGCAGCUUACGUUUGGGUUGAGCGUCUCAGCGGCAGUGCAAGAUCUAUCCUAUCCGCACUUUCCAAAAGGACAGCACUAUCCAUACUUAUGGAAGCAUCGUCUACGUGAAAUGCACAUCUACUAUACGAUCUACAUCUCGGACGACUGUCCUAAGUCCAUCUACCGGUGGCCAUAGAGACUGGAACCCUCCAAAUACGCUGCGUUCUAGCUGAUAGUCGUCAGCUGCUCUAUACCGAUGGCUUUCCAGUAAGAAACGUGUUUAACCGUGUUAUAUGCGCUUGCUUCAAUGGAGCGUUCAACACCGCUCAAACAGGAGGCUUGGACAUGCGAGUGAUAGUAAGCAAGAUAAGCAGGGUCUGACCUGAGGUUCUGCUCCGCCUCCACCACAUCCAGCAGCUGAUGAUAUCUCCAGAGGAUCUCAAGGUCUGUCAAUCUUUCUCCUCGAGUUUUAACAAGUUUGUCCUUUUACUGAGAUCUUGGUUAUCUCUUAAGGUUUCUAAGCAAUGCACGGCGUUAUUGCUUUCUACAAAGACACCACGAGAGUCCUUGUUAACACUCUUGGAUUUCAAAGUUAUGGAGGCACACGCUCCAUACGUCUGGGGAAGGUCAGGUAUGGACGUCCAUGAGCAAGAUGAGAUUGCAGUUUCGCAAUGGU